GGUACGGUGCGCCCGGCCGACUGGGGCAACUCAGCCAGUGCUGGUGUGCGCCUGCCUUUCAUGGAAGCUCUACACGCACUUCACUGUGUGGGUAGUGUUCUCCAUCUUUUACUUUGAAAAAAUUAGAGUGUUUAAAGCAAGCAAUCGCUAUGAAUAUAUUAGCAUGGAAUAAUAAUUUAGGGCUUUAUUCCUAUUUUAUUGGUUCUGAGGGAUAAAGUA
rnacentral:rRNA from 1 species